rnacentral:rRNA from 1 species
GAUGAACGCUGGCGCCGUGCCUAACACAUGCAAGUCGAGCGAUCUCUUCGGAGAGAGCGGCGGACGGGUGAGUAACGCGUGGGUAACCUGCCCUGUACACACGGAUAACAUACCGAAAGGUAUACUAAUACGGGAUAACAUACGAAAGUCGCAUGGCUUUUGUAUCAAAGCUCCGGCGGUACAGGAUGGACCCGCGUCUGAUUAGCUAGUUGGUAAGGUAAUGGCUUACCAAGGCAACGAUCAGUAGCCGACCUGAGAGGGUGAUCGGCCACACUGGAACUGAGACACGGUCCAGACUCCUACGGGAGGCAGCAGUGGGGAAUAUUGCACAAUGGGCGAAAGCCUGAUGCAGCAACGCCGCGUGAGCGAUGAAGGCCUUCGGGUCGUAAAGCUCUGUCCUCAAGGAAGAUAAUGACGGUACUUGAGGAGGAAGCCCCGGCUAACUACGUGCCAGCCGCCGCUGUAAGAC